GCUCACUCUGCCAGCCACUGGAGAAUGGACGUAAUGGAGCCAAGGAUGGCACCAGGAAGUCACGGGGGCAGUGUUUGCUGCUGUCCAGGCAAUCACAGUAUUGGUGUCGUGUCUCAGCAGGCUGGGGGUUGGGGCCCUGGAUUCAAAGCAUCCAUCUGAACAUAUUGUCACCCGUGCAUCCUGAGAGAGACAGCUUCAUGGAGUGGAGGUGUGUGGCCUGGAGGCCCCACGUAGGCCACCAGGCAUGUUUUCCACGAAAACCGAAACUUCUGACGGGAUUACUAACAUUGGGAGAUUUCCGUUUCUUGGACGCCAGUGGAGGGGCUGCACCAGCCUUAAAAGAAAUCAUGUGAGCCUCCACGAAUCAGCAAACAAAGGAGAAAUUAAGGUUCUGCCCACUUUUGUGGUUUUUGCUUUUCUGGAAAGUUUACGUUGUGCAUCCUUAAGUCAUUACGUAACACUGUAUUAAUAAGCAGUUGACUCAGAACUCCAGAGGGCUUCUGAGCUGGUGAAGUCCAUUCAUGUUACUAAGUCUAUUCUUCCUCCCAGAAUAAAAUCUUCCAUCUUCUCUGA
rnacentral:lncRNA from 1 species